rnacentral:lncRNA from 1 species
UUAUAUGUGCCUGGAAGGAUUCACAUCCCUCCCCUCCAAGUAUAUGGCCUCCAUGUGUUUGGGAUUUGUUACAUUCCAGCCAGUGCAGCAUAAAUCCUUAUUAGAUAUUGCAGAGAAAAAUAUCAGAAGAGAAAGAAAAAAAUAUCUACAGCCGAAGAGCAAGAGAAAUGAGUUUCUGUGUGUGUGAUCUGAAAUGAAGCUGAGAACAAGUGAGGUACCACCAGGAAAACUGCUGCCGUCAACACUGCUGGGAAGAGCUGCGGUGCAACAUCUGGUUCUCAAAGCUCUGUUGCUUUGCAACACAUCUGGAACACUUAAACACGUUCUUAAUGACAUGAAUGCAAAAUGAUGGAAAAUAAGACUCAGCAGUUUGUUUUAGUGUAACACAUUAAAUUAUCCAAGGGCCCAAACCAGUAAUGUGAUGAGCCUUCUCCAAAACCAUCCAGUAAAAGCAGACAAGAAAAGUGACCUAUUUCCAGAUGAACUCCCACAUAUCAUCCACUGUAUGUCCACAUAUUUCAUAGGCAAGCACACCAGCUAAUGAUAUACAGGGUAAACUGUAGCAAGAUAAUAAGCUCCUCUCACUGAUCCAAAACUAUAAUCUCUGCUGUUUUGAAAAUGGUCUUCUCUAGAAUUUCUACCAUGCAUCUCUAAAGGAAGUAGUCUUUUGUGGGAAUGAAUUCUGAUUUUAGCCUUCAAGUUUCAUUUUUGUUGUUACAGCAUCUCUUGUGAGAGCCAGCUGAAAGUGAUUUUGAAAUUAUUUAGUAUGGAACAUCCACUGUGAUUUGACAUCUCUUGUGUUUCUGAUCAGAUGAGCACUGCUGAAGGGUUUUGCAUGCCUAUCACAGGGGACAAAAAGGCUUCCAAACAGUAAGGGAGAUCUUUGAAAUUUAAAGACAAGUUCUGAUUGUGUCAGAAUGGGCUUUGUAGAAAAUGUUACAACUCGACACAAUUAUUAAGAAAAGGGCUUUAUUAUUUGAAAACUCAAGAUUAUCACCUGAAUCUUACCAGUUAGUCAAUGUAGUUGUCACACUACAUUAAGAAGGCCCUGCAGAAAAUAAUUUAGUUUUGACAGCUAUUAUGUGAUUCUGCCUGCAUCACAAAUAUGCCUUUAAUUCAGAGCUUACUCAUAAAAAACUGAAACUGCCUAGAUGUACAUGGUUGAAGUUGCUUCUUUCCUGGUGUGA